CCUCCCGCCGGCCCUGCCGUCCAUGUCACGCCUCGGCUCCUUCCUUUCGCUUCCGCCUCCUCCCUUGCCCCUUGUCCUCUUCCCACCUCCUCCGGAAUCUGGCAGCGCACCUACUUGUCGCCCGCCCCCUCGCUCGCUUUCCCGUCUCCGCUUUCUUUAUCCUGCGGGCGGGGCGGGUGCGGUGGCGUUCUGUGUUCUUGGAUCAAGGAAAAAAAGAGAGAGGAAAAAAAAACGAGCUUUCUAUCUGCGGCCGGCGGUUAGCCUGUCGCUCGCUGGCUCACUCAAGCGGUUCAUCCGCGUCUUCUUGGUGUGUGGCCAAGCGCGAUUGCGGAACUCGAGCCUCUCGUUUUGGGAGUUUUUCGGAUCACUUCGAGGGGCUCGGGGGAAAGGAUGAUCGCCAAUUCGCCAGUUAUCUUAGCUGGUUUUGAUAGAAUCGUCUGAAUUGUUGAGAACAUACUGGGUUCGUAGAUUUUCUUUGCCGUUUCAUCCUUAGACUAGGAUAGAGGAAAUUUGAUCAUCACAUAAGCUCAAGAUCAUGAGCUGGUUAAAUAAAAUUUUCAAGGGUUCAGUAAAUAGAGUUUCAAGGGGUCACUAUGACGGAGACUGGCAUGAAGGCCAUUCAUCUGAUUACAACAGAGAAACUUAUGGUGACAGUGAUAAUGAAGAUAUGGAUCGUGCUAUUGCAUUAUCACUAACAGAGGAAGAUCAAAAUAAGGGAAAAGCGGCUAUUGAUACUCACUAUAAUUUGGAUGAAGAUGAACAACUUGCACGAGCACUGCAGGAGAGCCUGAAUGCCGAAUCUCCUCCUCGACAGAAUGUUCCUGUUGAGAACGUACGUCGUCGAUGGAAUGUUCCUAUUGAGGAUGUGCCUUCUCGACAGUAUGUUCCAGCAAAGGAGUCACCUCCACAUGUUUACCCAGCAAGUGGAUUCAGGACUUGUGCUGGAUGCCAUAAUCCAAUUGGCCAUGGCCGUUUCCUUAGUUGUAUGGGUUCAGUUUGGCAUCCUGAGUGCUUCAGAUGUUUUGCUUGCAACAAGCCCAUAUCCGAGUAUGAGUUUGCUAUGCACGACGAUCAGCCGUACCACAGAUCCUGCUACAAAGAGUUUUUUCAUCCAAAAUGCGAUGUUUGUGACAACUUUAUUCCAACGAAUAGAGAUGGCCUCAUUGAGUACCGAGCACAUCCUUUCUGGAUGCAGAAGUACUGUCCUUCACAUGAAGAUGAUGGCACUCCUAGGUGCUGCAGUUGUGAACGAAUGGAGAAAUGAUGACAAAAUUGUAAGCAGGGUACUAUUCCUAAGCCCAUGCGAUAUGUAGGCUGGGCAUAAAGUGGCAAUAAACAGUUCUUUUGGUUCUACUGCAAUCAACUUUUGUGCCUCAAUUGGUUCUCAGUUCCUCAGCCACUAUUCCUUUUCAACUAGUGGUCUAUGUUAUAUGUUCCUGAAGAUAUUCCUACGACAUUGCAAGUUACACUGUGUACCCAUGUUCUUAUAUGUUCCUUCCAUCCUGAAAUUCAGCCUAGAGAGAUCAAGUACAUAACAUUAGACGAUGGGAGGAAACUCUGCUUGGAAUGCCUCAAUUCUUCGAUAAUGGAUACUCCAGAAUGUCAACACCUUUACAUGGAUAUUCAGGAAUUUUUUGAAGGUUUGAACAUGAAAGUAGAACAGCAAAUUCCAUUACUUUUGGUUGAGAGACAGGCUCUGAAUGAAGCAUUGGAAGCUGAGAAAAAUGGGCACCACCUAUCUGAAACCAGAGGUCUAUGUCUUUCUGAAGAGCAAAUUGUCAGAACGAUAUUAAAAAGACCACAGAUUGGGCCAGGAAACAGAAUCCUAGAUAUGAUUACAGGACCAUACAAGCUGUCUCGGCGGUGUGAAGUGACUGCGAUCCUUAUAUUAUAUGGUCUACCAAGGUUACUAACUGGCUCCAUUCUUGCCCACGAGAUGAUGCAUGCAUAUCUUCGUCUCAAAGGUUUCCGAAAUCUUAGUAUUGAGGUUGAAGAGGGCAUCUGCCAAGUUCUGUCCCACCUUUGGCUAGAGUCAGAAAUCAUCGCCGGUUCCAGUAGCAAUGUCGCAUCCAGCUCAGCGGCAUCGUCAUCGUCAUCUUCAGCUCCUACCUCUUCCAAGAAGGGUGCAAAGACCGAAUUUGAGAAAAAGCUCGGGGCAUUCAUCAAGAAUCAGAUUGAAACGGAUUCUUCGGAGGCGUAUGGAGGCGGGUUCAGAGCUGGCUACCCGGCUGUCGAGCGCUAUGGCUUGAGAAGGACCCUGGAUCACAUUAAGCUGACAGGGUCUUUCCCCUAUUGAAGUAUCUGUAACUGAAGCAAAUGAGGCGCAAUUCAACCUGCGGUGGUGCUGCAUAUUCUGGAAGAUAUGGUUUAAAAUAGACAUACAUACCAAAGGAGAGAAAUAGGCUGUAAAUCAAAAGGAAAAAGGAUGAUUCACUGGAGUAAUAUAAAUUUGCAAAUUCUGGGAGACAAUACACAAGAGACUUCAGAUAAAGAGUUUUCUAAUCCUCAGUUGUCCCAUUCUUAUCAAACAUCACAAUUUUUAGAUUCAGGGAAUAGUGCAAUUACCUAGUUGUUAAACAGUUCGUGUAAAAGUAAAUCCUAUAGCUAGCUAGGACACCAACUAGUUUGGCUAUAACGAAUUUGAUGCUAA